ACUCCUACGGGAGGCAGCAGUGAGGAAUAUUGGUCAAUGGUCGGAAGACUGAACCAGCCAAGUAGCGUGAAGGAUAAAGGUUCUAUGGAUUGUAAACUUCUUUUAUACGGGAAUAAAACCACCUACGUGUAGGUGCUUGUAUGUACCGUAUGAAUAAGCAUCGGCUAACUCCGUGCCAGCAGCCGCGGUAAU
rnacentral:rRNA from 1 species